rnacentral:rRNA from 1 species
UGACUCUGGGAUANNCCUGGGAAACUGGGUCUAAUACCGGAUACGACCAAUCUCCGCAUGGGGUGUUGGUGGAAAGCGUNAUGGANUGGUUUUANAUGGGCUCACNGCCUAUCACCUUGUUGGUGAGGUAAUGGCUUACCAACGCGACGACGGGUAGCCGGCCUGAGAGGGUGACCGGCCACACUGGGACUGAGACACGGCCCAUACUCCUACGGGAGGCAGCAGUGGGGAAUAUUGCACAAUGGGCGCAANCCUGAUGCAGCGACGCCGCGUGAGGGAUGACGGCCUUCGGGUUGUAAACCUCUGUUANCAUCNAACAAACGAAAGUGAC